rnacentral:rRNA from 1 species
GACGUAGGGCGCGAGCGUUGUCCGGAUUUAUUGGGCGUAAAGAGCUCGUAGGCGGCUUGUCGCGUCGGCCGUGAAAACUCGCAGCUCAACUGCGAGCCUGCGGUCGAUACGGGCAGGCUAGAGUUCGGUAGGGGAGACUGGAAUUCCUGGUGUAGCGGUGAAAUGCGCAGAUAUCAGGAGGAACACCGAUGGCGAAGGCAGGUCUCUGGGCCGAUACUGACGCUGAGGAGCGAAAGCGUGGGGAGCGAACAGG